rnacentral:rRNA from 1 species
UGGUCAAGUUAUUAAGGGUGCAGUGCGGAUGCCUUGGCACUAGGAGCCGAUGAAGGACGUGAUAAGCUGCGAUAAUCUUCGUGGAGUUUCACGUAAACUUUGAUCCGAAGAUUUCCGAAUGAGGAAACUCACUUAGAGUAAUGUCUAAGUAUCAUUAAGUGAAUACAUAGCUUAAUGAGGGGAACACAGGGAACUGAAACAUCUAAGUACCUGAAGGAAGAGAAAGAAAUUCGAUUAAGUAAGUAGCGGCGAGCGAACGCGGAUUCGCCCAAACCAAUAAAGUUUUCUUUAUUGGGGUUGCGGACAUAUCAUAACGAAGAGGUAUCGUAAUUGAAGAGGUUUGGAAAGACCCACCACAGAAGGUAAUAGUCCUGUAUGUUAAACGAGAAGACUUUAGAUAUGAUCCAGAGUACCACGGGACACGUGAAACCCUGUGGGAAGCAGGAGGGACCACCCUCCAAGGCUAAAUACUACCUAGUGACCGAUAGCGUAUAGUACCGUGAGGGAAAGGUGAAAAGAACCCCGGGAGGGGAGUGAAAUAGAACCUGAAACCCUGCACUUACAAGCUGUGGAAGCACAUUUCUUGUGUGACCGCGUACUUUUUGUAGAACGGGCCAACGAGUUACGUUAAGUAGCAAGGUUAAGCACUUAAGGUGCGGAGCCGUAGCGAAAGCGAGUUUUAACUGAGCGUUCAGUUACUUGACGUAGACCCGAAACCGGGCGACCUACCCAUGAGCAGGAUGAAGCGAAAGUAAAAUUUCGUGGAGGUCCGAACCCACGAGCG